rnacentral:rRNA from 1 species
UCUUUUACGUUUGGGUGGCUCGUGCGAGCGAGCACUCACGCACGACGUGCAAAGCAAGGGGCAAGGAAAGAAAGAAAUGAACAAAGAGUCCGGGGUACACUAGCUGAGCCGUAGUUCCGUCCGGCUGCGCGUUCGGUUGGUCUAGGCGUGUGCGAAACCUGGUGAGGUGAGGCGGAGAGCGACGAGGGAAAGGAGGGAGAGGGGGGAGGGUCACCGCGCCGCGGCCGGCCACGGGGGCCUCUGACUUCUCGGGUCGGCGGGCGGGCGGGGGCGCUAGAGGCCAGGGCUGAGGGCGGCGCGGCGGCCACGUGGUGUAACAUGUGACUUCCUUCCGGAAAAACAUAUAAUUUUAAUCGUAAUCUGGGAUGUACUAUUCUUUGGUACCGUGGUCCUUCGUUCCGUCUCUUUUUUCGUCGUAACCUACGACCCCGUACCUACAAGUUACAACAUUGAAGCCAACCGUAUUAGUACCAGUUGUUCCGGAAUUACCGAUGUGUACCAAAAUCGAAACGGUGUUGUAACUGACCCUACGUAAAACGUUGAUGGUGAAACUACUGUAACCAUUACUUUACCAAUCCUAUGCAAGUCGGUAGAGUAAAUGGAGACAGCCUCGAUCAUUUCAAACAUAAAAAACGUUUGGAUAGUUAACAACCCUACUUACAAUCGAACUACACCUUGAGACAACCGAAAAUAGUCUAACGCUUCGAUAGAUAAUAAGGUGAAGAUACGUAAUACCUCCAGGACAAGCUUUUAAAGGCAAUGAGCUCCCUAUGUUUCGAAUCAUAUCACCAACAGGAACAUCCACACCCUCACACAUGUCAAAGACUACAGUCACAUUUACGCGUUCCUAACCAUCGACGGCAUUAUCGUCAAACGCCGUGACGUAAUGUUGUCGUAAUACAGUUAAUGGAAGUUGCCUUCAUGAGAGAGUUGAGUGAGUUUGAGAACCCAGUGUGACGUGGUCGAGUUCGUCGAAGUGACAACUAUAAUCCGGGUAAGCACCUGAAGACCGAAUGGUCCUUAUCUUAGCUGUGAAAAGUGAUGUGGUCGUGUCACUGCAAGAAGUAACACGACAGUACGCAAUAAAGUCAACCCUGGUUAGAGUCGGUUAAGUAUACGUAACCCUCUAAGUGGCGGCAGUGCAAAGUUCACUAGCCUGUGUACUUCUGUUAAGAGCACGAUUGGGACCCUAAAGACAACAAGCCCUUUCUUCCGGACUUAAAGGUACACCGCAAACCCUACUAGGAGCGGUAACAACCCUACUAUACCAUGUCGUCGCGCAGAAGCUUUGGGCCUCCGUUCCUCGCCGUCCCAGACCGCUCGCUCUUCCGGGUCUUCAGCGGUGUCAGCCUCGACCUGCUAUUUCAUACUCUACCUUCGGAGCUUCAAGGAUAGCAGUCGAUAAAUAUACCUGGGACAGAAUAUAUAGUUUUCAUUUUACUAGCACUCUUAAAAGGAGUAACAUGUGCCAAGGAACCUCCUUACAAAGAUGUCCCUACAAUCUUUACAUCCGGUGUCCUCUUUCUGUCUCAAAUGUGAAAGCGUCCUUUAUGAGGAUGUAUCCAAUGCACCCGUCUGCAAAAGUCAAAGUUCUGAACCAUUAAAAUAGCGGCCGCAAGGAAGAAAACACUUUCAGUAGUGACAGCAAGAAACUGUUAGAAUGAUAUGUGUAAAUGUGCAAUGAACAGUCGGUCAUCAGUAAUCUCGUUGAGAUCGUCUUCAGUCGGUAUACCCGUCGG